AUGGAACCGGAGAGCACCGUACUGGACUACUGGUUCGGAGUCCGCGAGCGACAAGGAUUCGCCGGCUUCCGCGGCAGCAGCCGGCCGAGCCUGCUUAUCGUUGACCGCACCGGCGUCUACUCCACGGCGAAGCGCCGCUACAUCCGCAAGACGCGCCACCACAGCUACCGCGCGCUGGCCGCAGAUCUCGCUCCACUCGUCAAGGCCUACCGCUCCCUGCGCAAACUCGGACUAAACAACUGGCCAGAGUACGACGAGCGAGCCAGGACAGAGAUCGCGCGGUGGAAGCACAUGCUCAUGGAUGCCUACUGGGACGCCGCGCCGGACGAGCUUAGGGCGAGCGUCACGGAGCAGUACCUGAGGGCGCGAUACAAGCACGGGAUCGUCUACCCUUUCCUGGCGUUUGGGGUCGUCUUCAUGGGCUGCUGCAGUUUGGCGCGGCGGGUAAUGGUUGGGAGUUUCUAUCUCAGUUUGCUGCUUCUGUUGCCGCUGCUGGUCUUCUGCUUGUGUGCAUGGUGCCUCGUCGCAACGACAGAGGGACUCGUCAAGGAUAGGUGGACCCUCUCCCGCUCGCAAAUACACGAUGUCUUGGAAUAUGAGUUGGCAAAUUGA
rnacentral:rRNA from 1 species